ACGUAGGGGGCAAGCGUUGUCCGGAUUUACUGGGCGUAAAGGGUGCGUAGGCGGUAUUUUAAGUAAGAUGUGAAAUAUCCGAGCUUAACUCGGAGGGUGCAUUUGAAACUGGGAUACUUGAGUGCAGGAGAGGAAAGUGGAAUUCCUAGUGUAGCGGUGAAAUGCGUAGAUAUUAGGAGGAACACCAGUGGCGAAGGCGACUUUCUGGACUGUAACUGACGCUGAGGCACGAAAGCGUGGGGAGCAAACAG
rnacentral:rRNA from 1 species